GAUGAACGCUAGCGGCAGGCUUAACACAUGCAAGUCGAGGGGCAGCGGGGAGGAAGCUUGCUUUCUCCGCCGGCGACCGGCGCACGGGUGAGUAACACGUAUGCAACCUGCCCCUGUCAGGGGGACAACCCGCCGAAAGGCGGGCUAAACCCGCGCACAUGCCACCGGGGCAUCCCGGAGGCAGGAAAGGCUUCGGCCGGACAGGGAUGGGCAUGCGGCGCAUUAGGCAGUAGGCGGGGUAACGGCCCACCUAACCGACGAUGCGUAGGGGUUCUGAGAGGAAGGUCCCCCACACUGGUACUGAGACACGGACCAGACUCCUACGGGAGGCAGCAGUGAGGAAUAUUGGUCAAUGGUCGGGAGACUGAACCAGCCAAGCCGCGUGAGGGAGGAAGGUACAGAGUAUCGUAAACCUCUUUUGUCAGGGAACAAAGACUGGGACGCGUCCCCGGAUGAGUGUACCUGAAGAAAAAGCAUCGGCUAACUCCGUGCCAGCAGCCGCGGUAAUACGGAGGAUGCGAGCGUUAUCCGGAUUUAUUGGGUUUAAAGGGUGCGCAGGCGGUCUGUUAAGUCAGCGGUCAAAGCCCGGGGCUCAACCCGGCCCGCCGUUGAAACUGGCAGUCUCGAGUUGGAGAGAAGUAUGCGGAAUGCGCGGUGUAGCGGUGAAAUGCAUAGAUAUCGCGCAGAACUCCGAUUGCGAAGGCAGCAUGCCGGCUCCACACUGACGCUGAGGCACGAAAGCGUGGGUAUCGAACAGGAUUAGAUACCCUGGUAGUCCACGCAGUAAACGAUGAAUGCUGGCUGUCCGGGGGGACUGACCCCUGGGUGGCGAAGCGAAAGCGAUAAGCAUUCCACCUGGGGAGUACGCCGGCAACGGUGAAACUCAAAGGAAUUGACGGGGGCCCGCACAAGCGGAGGAACAUGUGGUUUAAUUCGAUGAUACGCGAGGAACCUUACCCGGGCUCAAACGGGGAGUGACUCAGGCAGAGACGCCUGUUUCCCACGGGACACUCCCCGAGGUGCUGCAUGGUUGUCGUCAGCUCGUGCCGUGAGGUGUCGGCUUAAGUGCCAUAACGAGCGCAACCCCCGCGUGCAGUUGCUAACAGAUAACGCUGAGGACUCUGCACGGACUGCCGGCGCAAGCCGCGAGGAAGGCGGGGAUGACGUCAAAUCAGCACGGCCCUUACGUCCGGGGCGACACACGUGCUACAAUGGGUGGUACAGCGGGAAGCCAGGCGGCGACGCCGAGCGGAACCCGAAAUCCACUCUCAGUUCGGAUCGGAGUCUGCAACCCGACUCCGUGAAGCUGGAUUCGCUAGUAAUCGCGCAUCAGCCAUGGCGCGGUGAAUACGUUCCCGGGCCUUGUACACACCGCCCGUCAAGCCAUGGGAGCCGAGGGCGCUUGAAGUGCGUCGCCGCGAGGCGCGCCCUAGAGCGAAAUCGGUGACUGGGGCU
rnacentral:rRNA from 1 species